rnacentral:lncRNA from 1 species
CCUGCACUCAGCUGCAGAGAGGCUGAUCCUGGGGUCUGAAGUAAAACCCAGGAAUCUCUUCUAUUAGUCAGCACCCCAGGAUAAAAAUGCUUCCAGGGUCACACCUAGAAAAACUUAGUAGAAGCCAUGUGCCCACAGAGGCCAAUGCUCCAUCUGGCCACAUACUCCACAGUCUGCAAGGCCUCCAGUCUUCCCUCCCAGGCUCACACCCCAACUCACAAAGCUUCUGGAGUAUGAAGCCCUCACCAUUCCCCAGACUUCCCUAGAAAAUGGGUUAAACCAAUCCACAGGGAGUGAAGGGCAGAAGAGUAUCCCAGCACCAGGGUUCUGUUGCAGCUGCAGAAGCCUGCGUUUGUGGACAGAGCUCUUCCAAGGUUCCAGGAGGAGGAAAACAUCCAGUGACUCCCAGACUUUGGUGGGCUGGACACAUUUAUAUGUAAUAAUGUUCCUGGCUCCACGCUUCCAGAUGGACAGUCCCAAAGAGAAUGGAGACAACCAAUCAAACUGAGAAGAGAACAGCAAAGAUCAUUCUCCGUGUGGCAGAGAGAAACAGCGGACACGGGGAGAGACAACAAAGCUUUCAUAAGGGCCAAGCCAGCCCCACGGAACCCCAUGAAAAGAGGCCAAUGAACCAAGCAAUUCUGGCCUAUGGCCUGGAAAUCAGAGCUGCUUCAAGCAAGUUCUGUGGGGGUCUUUAAGGUGAGCCCCAGAGCCUGGGCUUCCCACCCUCUGGGUGGGAUGGAGACAAGACCAAAAAUAGAAAGCAGCAGAGGCCCAGACCAAGCCUGGCUUUUCUCACUGCCCCCUUCAAAAAGUUCUGGUCAGAUCAGAUGCUAUCAGAAAUGAUUGGCGCCUUUAUUCCCCCUCUUUGCUUCUAGCCCCCCACCCCCUUUCCAGUUUGACCACAUCUGUAGGCUCUGUUGAAACUGAGCCAACAUAAACAAAAACAAACUGAAACCCAGCAGCCAGCAAGGGCGGGAUGUGCCACCCAUCUGGGCAGGCCACGUGCAAGGCGGAGGACUGCCAAGGCACACCUCCUGCUGGUAAAAGGCGCCAUGUGGAGUCAUUAACCUCCAGGCCUUGGUGAGUGAAAAGCACCAUGUAACCAUGCUGGGU